CAUUAGAUGACUGAAAGCAAGUAAUGGUCUCUUAAACCAAUAAAUAGUAAGUUAGCAUUUACUUCUAAUGA
rnacentral:tRNA from 1 species